UUGAACCCAGGAGAUGGCAUUCCUCCCGACAACCGCCCUUCGGGGCUAAUGAUGCCUACAGGCCU
rnacentral:ncRNA from 2 species